rnacentral:rRNA from 1 species
GACGAACGCUGGCGGCGCGCUUAACACAUGCAAGUCGAACGGAAAGGCCUGCUUUCCCUUGUGGAUUGCGGGUACUCGAGUGGCGAACGGGUGAGUAACACGUGAGUGAUCUGCCCCCAACUUGGGUAUAAGCCUGGGAAACUGGGUCUAAUUCCCGAUAGGACUGCAGGGUGGUGCCUGUGGUGGAAAACGAUUUUCUAGUGGUUGGGGAUGAGCUCGCGGCCUAUCAGCUUGUUGGUGGGGUAAUGGCCUACCAAGGCGGCGACGGGUAGCCGGCCAGAGAGGGGGGACGGCCGCAUUGGGACUGGGAUACGGCCCAGACUCCUACGGGAGGCAGCAGUGGGGAAUAUUGCACAAUGGGCGGAAGCCUGAUGCAGCGACGCCGCGUGGGAGAUGACGGCCUUCGGGUUGUAAACUCCUUUCGACCGCGAGGAAGCCACCUGGUUGGAAGGGUGGUGACGGUAGUGGUAGAAGAAGCACCGGCUAACUACGUG